AGCGAACGCUGGCGGCAGGCCUAACACAUGCAAGUCGAACGAAGCCUUCGGGCUUAGUGGCGGACGGGUGAGUAACACGUGGGAACGUACCUUUUGGUUCGGAAUAACGCAGAGAAAUUUGCGCUAAUACCGAAUGAGCCCUUCGGGGGAAAGAUUUAUCGCCGAAAGAUCGGCCCGCGUUGGAUUAGGUAGUCGGUGUGGUAAAGGCGCACCAAGCCUACGAUCCAUAGCUGGUCUGAGAGGAUGAUCAGCCACACUGGGACUGAGACACGGCCCAGACUCCUACGGGAGGCAGCAGUGGGGAAUCUUGCGCAAUGGGCGAAAGCCUGACGCAGCCAUGCCGCGUGAAUGAUGAAGGUCUUAGGAUUGUAAAAUUCUUUUACCAGGGACGAUAAUGACGGUACCUGGAGAAAAAGCCCCGGCUAACUUCGUGCCAGCAGCCGCAGUAAAAC
rnacentral:rRNA from 1 species